rnacentral:ncRNA from 1 species
AUCAGCAGGGAAGGAAGACCCUGUUGAGUUUGACUGUAGUCUGGCAAGUCAAAGAGAUGGGAGAGGUGUAUGAGUUGGAUCUCCUUGGGAGCCACAAUUCCCUCCCAUCAUGGAGUCGGGGGAAGGGACAGUGCCAGGUGGGGAGUUUGAGUGGGGCACUACACUGGUCAAAUGGUAAUGCAGGUGUUCUAAGUUGAGCACAGGGAGGACAGAAACCUCCCAUGAAACAGAAAGGCAAAAGCUCUCUUGAUCUUUAUUUUCUUUUUUAAUUCUUUAUUGUUUAAAUUAUUACAUAUGUCUCCUUUUCCCCCCAUUGAGAUCUCCCCUUGAUUUUGAUUUUCAAUAGGAAUACAGAUCUUAAAAGCACAGCCUCACGUUUUAAAAAGAAACAAACUAAGGAAAAAUAUGUACUGUGACCUUGACCUACAAUUCUGGUCUCUUCCUCUGUU